UGAUACAUUUACUCCACUUCAUUCAUCUAUAUAUGUCCAAUCUUGGCAAUGCGCGGAAGCAUUACUGAAGGAAUGUGCUGAUCCAAAUGGUGGAUCAGAUGGAACAAGAGCUCUGCCACUAGCAGCUGUAAUGGGGGUAGUAAAAAUCAUCAGGCUGGUGCAGAUCCAUAUGUUACAAAUAUACACGGACUAAAGCCAAUUGAAGUCUCAGCUUAUAAAGAUAAUCGCCGAGGUGUUGAAAUUCUUUUUCCUGUGACUUCUCCUUUUCCUUCAUAUGUUGAGUGGAGAGUAAAUGGAACAAUUGAAGCAUGCAAAUUCUAAGGAGU